rnacentral:siRNA from 1 species
AGAUCCGCCCUUGCAUGUAGUUAG